rnacentral:rRNA from 1 species
CGUGUAGCCGGGUCGGUAAGUCAGAUGUGAAAUCCACGAGCUCAACUCGUGAACUGCAUUUGAAACUGCUGAUCUUGAGUGUCGGAGAGGUAAUCGGAAUUCCUUGUGUAGCGGUGAAAUGCGUAGAUAUAAGGAAGAACACCAGUGGCGAAGGCGGAUUACUGGACGAUAACUGACGGUGAGGCGCGAAAGCGUGGGGAGCAAACAGGAUUAGAUACCCCCGUA